GCCCGUUUAGCUCAGUGGUAGAGCGCGCCACUCGUAUCCCAGCACAUCCAGUGCAACAUGGUUAUGGUGAGGUCGGUUGUUCAAACCAGCCAACGGGCA